rnacentral:tRNA from 1 species
GCCCUCGUAGCUCAGAGGAUAGAGCGCCGGAUUCCUAAUCCGUAGGUCGCAGGUUCAAGUCCUGCCGGGGGCACCA